ACACAGGGUCUCUUGUGUACAGAGCUGGCCUGAGCUGGAGAAUUCCUGCAGCAGCGUCAUGGAAAACACCACUUGCCACAGCACAGAACGAGAGAAAGAAGAAAAGAGGCGCCACCAAGGAUCAGGACAGCGCCUGUGGGGCGGUGUGGGAGCCACAAAGGGAAGGAAAGCAGAGGCUCCUGCAGCAGCAGCAGAGCCCAGCUGGCCCCUGUCCCUCCCGUGGAGCUCCACAGGAGCUCUGAGCCACGUGAGGCAGCCAGCCCAGGCUUUGGCAAGGCAGGAUGCUGUGCUGGGGUUAUUAGCAGGUUCCCAUAGCACUGCCCUCCCCAGGCAUCCUCCCCUGCCCACGCUGGCCUGCCUGGCACAGGCUGCUGGGCAUUCACCAGGAGCUCCGUCCCUAUUUCAGCCCCCAGCGCAAACACCACCGUGAAUCUUUGAGUAAACAGGCAGGCACUGGAGGGGAGGGAAGGAUUAAAAACUCCGAAUAAUGACUGAAAUGUCAGACAUUUAUUAUUAAGUCAGUCCUGAUGUUGACAGCUGAACAUUCAAUAUUAAAAGCAUCCUUGAUCAUAAAAGCCAAAGGCAAACCUGAUUCUUAAAUAUCCCAGUUGUUCUUUUUUGACCUAGUUUUUGAUGUCUUAAGGAGGAAAUAAAAUUUUGGAAAAUAUUUACAGACAUGGGAAACGCGGGAUUUCAUCACGGCUGGUGACUCCAUGGAUCUGCCUGGGGCAAGGACAGCAAUUAAAGAGCAGGAGGGCAAACAGGUCUCACAUUUCCCUUUGCAGAGGCAGGGCUGGAAGAGCAGGAAGUCACCAAGUCUCAGCGAGAGGCUUAGAGGGGCUCCGGUGGCUUUCAGGAUGUUCAAGGAGUGGUUAUGAGCGAGGCUGAGGUUUGACAGGCUUUGCCAGGAGCUAGAAAGGUGAAAUGAUCAGUGUUGUGUUGUGUGGCAGUGAAGCAGAAAUGCCAAAGAACUGCUCUGAAUAAUGCAUAGUCUUUGUGGGUCAAAGUCUCCUAUAAGAAGGGCUGGUGGAAAAGGCUGGAUGGAAUUUACCCCAAGCAUCGGAUUUUGGGGGUGGCCAGGCCCUCAGAUCCCCCAGCAGAACUACCCAAACUACCAAAAAUGCCCAAAUUUUGGUGCUGGAUGUGAGGGAGCUGGGAGGAUCCGAGGGGAUGGCAUCAGUUUUGUGGCACUUCACAUCUCCACACACCUCUCAUGGUCACGGUGCCCUUGGGAGCUGCACAGCUCUGUUCUCUUGAUGAAGGACAUAUUGUGCUGGAAUCACAGUGCUUGGCUGGCUGGAUCUUUGGGGCUAAACCAGCCAUUCCUAUGUACUCAUUUAAAUUUCAUUGAUUUUUCUAAAGAAUUAUUUCUCCCUCGACGGUCUAGAAAUAAAACCUCUUGCCCUGACUGGCUC
rnacentral:lncRNA from 1 species